rnacentral:rRNA from 1 species
UACGGAGGAUCCAAGCGUUAUCCGGAUUUAUUGGGUUUAAAGGGUGCGUAGGCGGCCUAUUAAGUCAGGGGUGAAAGACGGUAGCUUAACUAUCGCAGUGCCUUUGAUACUGAUGGGCUUGAAUGAACUAGAGGUAGGCGGAAUGUGACAAGUAGCGGUGAAAUGCAUAGAUAUGUCACAGAACACCAAUUGCGAAGGCAGCUUACUAUGGUUUUAUUGACGCUGAGGCACGAAAGCGUGGGUAGCAAACAGG